UGGCAAAACUGCUGAAGAAGUGAAAAGGCACUAUGAGCUUCUUGUUCAUGAUGUCAAGUAUAUUGAAUCUGGCCAAGUUCCCUUCCCCAAUUACAGGACCACCGGUACCAGAGGUAAUUAACUUCUUUUUCCCUUGAAAUACUUCAGGGAAUGUAUGCCCUGAUUUUUCAUCCAUUAUCAUGCAAGAAUCAAAGCUUAUAGUCUUUUCUUUUUACUCGGAUUCUCUUCUUUAUAACCCUUUUCUUUUUCUUGCUUUCAACUUCUUUAAACAAAAGAAAAAAAGUAAAAAAAGGAUUCUUUAGAUUGUUUUCAAUAGCUAAAUACUAUUUCAGAUUAUUUUUUUUUUUAAAGAAGUCAAAACUGAGCAUCGAAUGGGUGGUAUAAAAUUAUUAGAAGAGAGGGGAGAAUACGCAAGGAUAAGGAGUGCUUUACCCUUAUUUUAAAUUUAACACAUUCUUAUUCAGAAGGAACAAUAUUUAAAGUUAAUUCAAGGAGAGAGGUAUGCACAAAAUCAUAUAAGGGGCAUAAUAACUAAUGUCAAACUACAGUAAUGAAAAAUAUUUUUUUAAGAUGAAAAUAAAUUUAAAUGGUCUUAAAUUACGAAAAUAAAGCUGCAAAAUCUAAUUUUUUUUUUUGACCCCACAAACACUUUUCACGUGGCUUCUAUAAAUAAUGAUUUUGACUCUUGAUUGUGUUUAUAACUAAAUGGAUCUAUCAAAUUUAUUACACAAGCCAAACUUAAUAUGAUUGGUCUUGUUUUUUUAUGAGAGUUAAAAAUUUCUGAGUUGAAUAUUAAUUUUAAAUAAAUAAAAUAUUAAUUAUGGCUAGAACGAAAUCGAUUUUAAUUUUUCUUUUCCAAUGCAGGAUGAAAAAUAUGAAGCUGCUGUGAGCUAGAGGAAAGCUGAAGAAUCAUCAACAGCAAUCAAGAAGUUCACUUUACUCUAUUUUCAAUGAUUUUAUUUGAAGCCGUGCUUGUUUAGUAUAUGUUUUAUUAGUAAACCUACUUCAAGAAUCUUCUAUGCAGAUUCUACUAGUCUUUUUAUUAAUUUCUGUCUUUU
rnacentral:misc_RNA from 1 species